rnacentral:SRP_RNA from 16 species
CAGGGCACGAAACAAGCAGCCAUCAACAAGGUCCUCAAAGUGCUGAG